rnacentral:rRNA from 1 species
GACGAACGCUGGCGGCGUGCUUAACACAUGCAAGUCGAACGGAAAGGCCCUGCUUUUUUGGUGUGCUCGAGUGGCGAACGGGUGAGUAACACGUGAGUAACCUGCCCUUCACUUUGGGAUAACUUCAGGAAACUGGGGCUAAUCCCGUAUAGGAUCUCCUGCUGCAUGGUGGGGGUUGGAAAUUUUCGGCGGUUGGGGAUGAACUGGCGGCUUAUCAGCUUGUUGGUGGGGUAGUUGCUUACCAAGGCUUUGACGGGUAGCCGGCCUGAGAGGGUGACCGGCCACAUUGGGACUGAGAUACGGCCCAGAGUCCUACGGGAGGCAGCAGUGGGGAAUAUUGCACAAUGGGCGGAAGCCUGAUGCAGCAACGCCGCGUGCGGGAUGACGGCCUUCGGGUUGUAAACCGCUUUCGCCUGUGACGAAGCGUGAGUGACGGUAAUGGGUAAAGAAGCACCGGCUAACUACGUG